ACGCCUGUUAUUUUGACUCAUACCU
rnacentral:miRNA from 10 species